rnacentral:rRNA from 1 species
GACGAACGCUGGCGGCGUGCCUAAUACAUGCAAGUCGAACGCAGUGGGGACGGGUGAGUAACACGUGGGUAACCUCCCAUCAGAGGGGAUAACACUUGGAAACAGGUGCUAAACCGAUACUGAUGGAUGGACCCGCGGUGCAUUAGCUAGUUGGGGAGGUAACGGCUCACCAAGGCCACGAGGCAUACCCGACCUGGGAGGGUGGUCGGCCAACACGGGACUGAGACACGGCCCAGACCCCCAAGGGAGGCAGCAGUAGGGAAACUUUGGAAAUGGACGAAAGUCUGACCAAGCAAAGGCGGGUGAGUUAAGAAGGGUUUUGGAUCGUAAAACUCUGUUGUGAGAGAAGCGGUAACUAACCAGAAAGGGACGGCUAACUACGUGCCAGCAGCCGCGGUAAUAC